rnacentral:rRNA from 1 species
CUACCAGGGUAUCUAAUCCUGUUUGCUCCCCACGCUUUCGCGCCUCAGCGUCAGUAAUGAGCCAGUAUGUCGCCUUCGCCACUGGUGUUCUUCCGAAUAUCUACGAAUUUCACCUCUACACUCGGAGUUCCACAUACCUCUCUCAUACUCAAGAUCGCCAGUAUCAAAGGCAGUUCCAGGGUUGAGCCCUGGGAUUUCACCUCUGACUUAACGAUCCGCCUACGCGCCCUUUACGCCCAGUAAUUCCGAGCAACGCUAGCCCCCUUCGUAUUACCGCGGCUGCUGGCAC